CGUCCGUUGGGUGUCGUCAAAGCUUGAGCCCCUACUCUUUGUCUGGUGGCACCCGAAAGAAUUUGGCGUACACAGUGUCUUCUCCCAUCCUAUCUCCAUGUAGCCAUAGGUGCUGAAGAAGGUAUACUGAGGAUGUGCUAACCCUGGGUUCAGAUUUGGGCUGCUGCCCCUAACGGGGCACCCUGUCUUCAGUUCUGGCCCUGCUGUAGACUGAGCUCUGGAGUUCCACAAGGAUACUCCUGUGUUGUCUCAGUUGUGGCUCUGAGACAAACAUCCCUGAAACUUAGUGACCUGACUUGAAAUCUAGAAUAGCAACCUAUCCCGUCAAUAAAGGUUUUGUUUUUGUUUUUGUUUUUGAAACAGGGUUUCUUUACAUAGCCCUGACUCACUAUAUAGAUCAUGCCGGCUUCGAACUCAUAGAGCUCAGCCUGUGAUGAUCCCAAGUGCUUGGAUUAAAGGCUGACCGCGAA
rnacentral:lncRNA from 14 species